CGCCACAAUGGGAACUCCCUGAUUUAUUUUUUUUAAUUCAAUUAUCUUUGUUAAAGGCUGCAAACUAACUUGUGUGAAUAAUAUUUAGGGGAAAAAUUUUUUUAAAGGCAAAGGGAAACAAGGAAAAAUAUAGAAUAUGUAGAGCAGUAAGUUUGUAGGUGAUAAUAAAACUAAUCUGAUAACUUGUAUAUUUAAUAUUUUCUCUAGGACAUAGAGUUCUACUCAUAGGUGCAUGCCAGGAGCCUGCCAAUUGGAGCAUUAACAUUAUAAACAUCAUAACAUAAUACUUAUUUAUUGCUCUGAUUAAUGGCCUGUCUUUGAAGGAACUGAAACACUGCCUGGGAAGGUCACUGUUUAUUCCUUAUGUGUAUAGAGGGACUGGCUUAACUUUGCUCCAUAUUCUUUAUAAGAACUCUUUAAUGAGGUUUCAGACGCUCUGGUCUGUAUCUGAUGUUCCACUCUAAUAGCUUGGACAGUGUCUGUGUCGGGUAGGUAAGGAGUCAGAUGAGGACCUUCUCUGAACAUCUUUCUACUCCCUAGAAAGUGCAAUGGAAGGUUUGACUGAACAUUUAUUUGGGCAGCAGGCAGAAUAUUCCACCUUCUGCUCUUGGAUACCGGUUGUCUCCAGCCUUCACCCUACACAUGCAACCACACUGGACAGUCCCAUGACCAUGUCUGUCCAGCUCAGAGCCAAGACACAGAGCUGGGGUCUCCACUGGUGCCCAAGGCCUGCCCAGAGACUACUAGAACCCAAUGUCACAGGAGGCACACCCAGAUUCUUGUACUCAUGUUACCUAAACCUGAAACCCUCAAAGUACUUAAAGAGAUGUCAGCAAAAGAGC